GAAGCUGUGCAUGCUGCGGGAGCCAAGUGCUGGAGAGGUCCUGCGCAACGCAAACACCGGUGACGGUGACCGGGCACCUGGGAACCAGGAAGAGACCGCCUCCAUUCCCCACUGUCUUCUCCACGCCCUCUGCUGAGAAAGCUUAACUUCACAGCAGCCUGUCAGGAUCAUCACAGAGCUCCUCUCCAUGAUCUCAGAGCAGGUAACGGAUAUGUGUGGAACAAAACUCAGUUGUCAGAAGGAGGUGAAAAGAAUAUGAUAUAUCGGAAUAGUGAAAAGGCCCUCAGCGGACUGAAGCAACGAGGAGGAAAACGUUCACAGUGUCAAACACUGCAAAUACAAUGCAUGGCAUUUAAGAUAAAAGACUAGAGUCAUGGUGUGUUGGAGAAUGUGAAUAGCAGUGCUAUACAUAAAACAUGUUACAAAAAAGACUAAGCUGCUAAUAGAAUCUUGGCAAUUGAUUCAGAAAAUUCCCCAAACAACUUGGCCUGAAUAAACUUAAUUUUCUCAUUCA